rnacentral:rRNA from 1 species
CACGUAGGGCGCAAGCGUUGUCCGGAAUUAUUGGGCGUAAAGAGCUCGUAGGUGGUUUGUUACGUCUGCUGUGAAAACCUAGGGCUUAACCCUGGGCUUGCAGUGGAUACGGGCAGACUAGAGGUAGGUAGGGGAGAAUGGAAUUCCUGGUGUAGCGGUGAAAUGCGCAGAUAUCUGGAGGAACACCGGUGGCGAAGGCGGCAUCCUGGACCGAUACUGACGCUGAGGAGCGAAAGCCAGGGGAGCAAACGGG